CAAUAAUUAAGAAGUUCCGGGUCGAGUCCGAUACCGAUACCAAUAGUAUAUUCACCUGGUACCUAUUACCUUAUAUGUACGUUCCGCAUCUGACAGGCGCACCACCAAACGGUGUAUUCAGGAUUAAUAUGCAAUAUACACGGGUCAUAAUCACAGGGUUGACACUACUAAAUUGUCAAAUUGUUACCUAUUGUAGUAUUUUAAUCAGUAAGACUUUCUAAGAUAACAAUACGAAUACUAAAAAUAAGGCGUAUAGGUACAGUUUUCAAUUUGUUAGCGGGCAUGACGUAAAACAGCGAAUCAAAGAAUUCAACUUUAUUUAUAAUUAAUAUAAAACAAUGCUGUUGAUUAAAAAAUACUCCAUUCCAGGACCUUUUGUUUUCCAAAUAAUUAAUAUUACCAAUAAUUGAUAAGUUCCAGUUCGACGGGUUCAAACAGAAAAAUUUAAAAGCAGAGAAAACUGUGUAUCUUAUAAUCGGCAUGACUUUAUCAGAUGACAAUACUAAUACUAAAAUAAGGCUUGCGCAUAGUUAUAUACUUUAAUUCAGUCACGGACCCGCG
rnacentral:lncRNA from 1 species